rnacentral:rRNA from 1 species
GACGAACGCUGACGGCGUGCUUACCACCUGCAAGUCGAAGGGAGUGGCGAACGGGUGAGUAACACGUGAGUAAACUGCCCUUUUCUUUGGGAUAAGCCUGGGAAAAUGGGUCUAAUACUGGAUGGAUUGGGAUGGGCUCGCGGCUUAUCAGCGUGUUGGUGGGGUGAUGGCUUACCAAGGCUUUGACGGGUAGCCGGCCUUAGAGGGGGGUCUGGCAUACUGGGACUGAGGUACGGCCCAGACUCCUACGUGAGGAAGCAGUGGGUGAUAUUGCACCAUGGACGAAAGUCUGAUGCAGCGACGUCGUGUGGGGGAUGAAGGCCUUCGGGUUGUAAACUCCUUUCGCCCGCUGAAUGUUAGUGGGUAAAGAAGCGCCGGCUAACUACGUGCCAGCCGCCGCGGUAAUAC